rnacentral:rRNA from 1 species
UACGUAGGGGGCAAGCGUUAUCCGGAUUUACUGGGUGUAAAGGGAGCGUAGACGGCGAUGCAAGUCUGAAGUGAAAGCCCGGGGCUCAACCCCGGGACUGCGUUGGAAACUGUAUGGCUGGAGUGCUGGAGAGGCAAGCGGAAUUCCUAGUGUAGCGGUGAAAUGCGUAGAUAUUAGGAAGAACACCAGUGGCGAAGGCGGCUUGCUGGACAGUAACUGACGUUGAGGCUCGAAAGCGUGGGGAGCAAACAGG